rnacentral:rRNA from 1 species
AUUGAACGCUGGCGGCAGGCCUAACACAUGCAAGUCGAGCGGGGUUUUCGGACCUAGCGGCGGACGGGUGAGUAAUGCGUAGGAAGCUGCCCGAUAGAGGGGGAUACCAGUUGGAAACGACUGUUAAUACCGCAUAAUGUCUACGGACCAAAGUGUGGGACCUUCGGGCCACAUGCUAUCGGAUGCGCCUACGUGGGAUUAGCUAGUUGGUGAGGUAAUGGCUCACCAAGGCGACGAUCUCUAGCUGGUUUGAGAGGAUGAUCAGCCACACUGGAACUGAGACACGGUCCAGACUCCUACGGGAGGCAGCAGUGGGGAAUAUUGGACAAUGAGCGCAAGCCUGAUCCAGCCAUGCCGCGUGUGUGAAGAAGGCCUUCGGGUUGUAAAGCACUUUCAGCGAGGAGGAAGGGUGAUGUGUUAAUAGCACAUCAUUUUGACGUUACUCGCAGAAGAAGCACCGGCUAACUCUGUGCCAGCCGCCGCCGUAACAC